UCUGUGGAGGAAUUCCCCCCUGCAUUUCUGACUGGUCAUCUCCUGGGGAAUUCUCUGUAACUGGAAAUGAUCCCGGAAAACCAGGAACAGCUGCAUUGUAGGAUCUUCCUGGUUCCAGGCACAGCACUCCAGCUCCAACCGUGAAUGAGCAAGCUUGGAUGUCUUCCCAUUCCAAAGGGACCAGAGCCACAGAUUCCAUUACACUGCAGUACCUCUGGGUGGCAGAGGGAUAGAAGUGCUAAGUGAGCCCAGGAAAGGAUGUGUGUUAGCUGUCUAGACCAGGCUGGCCUUAAACUCAGAGAGACCCACCUGCCUCUGCCCCCUGAGUGCUGGGAUUGCAAGUGUAUACCCAGCAGCAUCCACAGUUUGCAAAGGUCAGCCCUUCUCUAAGCCAGCAAUGCAUGACCUGGGCUAGUCUGAGAAGAAACAGAAGAGAAGGAAAGAAAGGGGGAACAGGAAAACCCCCAAAUUCCAGUGAGCUUUUGUCCUAAGGAAUGGUUUCCUUCUGCCAGCAGAAAUGAGGAUGGACAAUCUAAUUGAAUUCAAUUAAGAGAAGCAUCGACAUUUCGGCACUUUGGCACAUUCAAGGGAUUACCCCGAGGUUCAGGAGCGGAGCGCACCAGCGCACAGGACUCCUUCAAACCCAGUUUCCGGGAUGGAAGCUUAGUGCAGUGGUGGAACCCUUGCCUCCAGAUACAAAGCCUUGAAUUGAUCCCUGGUGUCAUGCAAGAAAAGGAGGGGAGGGGAAGGGAGUAGGAGCAGGAGAAGGAAGAGAAGUGAGAGGAAGAUUCAACUCGUUGCUGCCCAAGCCUUCUUGUCCCUUUCUGAUACUGAGAUAAAACACUCAGGAAAAAAAAAAAAAAACUCACCCCUGAGUUCCAUCCCCAGGACCCACAGAGUGGAGAGAACUAAAUCCCACAGUUGUCUUCUGAUCUCCAUGUGCACGCGUGCACGCGCACACACACACACACACACACAUCACCCUUAAAACCAUCCUAAACAACUACUAAUCUGUUUCCUGUCUCUGUGGGCUUGCUGAUUUGAGACAUUUCCUUUAAAUAGACUUUCGUGAUGUUUUCAAGCCUCAUUCAUAUUAUAACACCUAUCAGGUACUUCAUUCUCUGUGGAUGGCUUAAUAACGCUCUAUUGUAAGGACAGAGCACAUUUCCCCUUCACUAAUCCACAGACAUUUGACUCGUUUCUGUUUCUGUGAGCGGCCAUAUCCACAUUUUGUAUGGAUUAUAGGUUUUGUUUCUCAUGGGUAAUUGUCUAGGGUAGAAUUGCUAGAUCAUCUCUAUUAGGUUUUUAAUUUUAUUUGUAAUUAUGCUAUGCUGGGUAGGUGCAGAUAUGCAGGUGAGUGCCGUGCCAGAGGAGGCCAGAAGAGGGCAUCAGUUCUCCUGGACCUACAGUUACAGGCAGUUGUAAUCUCCUUGCUGACCAUGGGUGCUGGGAAUUAAACUGGGGUCCCCUCCAAGGGCAGUACACCCUCUUAACCCCUGAGUCACCUCUUCUAGCCCUCGUGUAUGUUACUUAGACUCCCUAUGUCGGCCCCAUUCCCUUAUCCACUUUCUAAUGACUAUUUGUGUGCUCAUUUCUGAAGCUAGCUGAUUUCCCACCCAGUAAUGUCUGAAUUCCAUA
rnacentral:lncRNA from 1 species